rnacentral:ncRNA from 2 species
CGAUGGAGCUCUGAAGAGAUCGCACAUUAAACGUGCGACACCGAAGGAGAAAGUGCAAAGUGUAAAGAUUUGCAUGUAAACUCUCAGGUAAAGAGACAGAGAAUAUAGU